rnacentral:rRNA from 1 species
UACGGAGGGGGCUAGCGUUGUUCGGAAUUACUGGGCGUAAAGCGCACGUAGGCGGCUUUGCAAGUCAGAGGUGAAAGCCCGGGGCUCAACCCCGGAAUUGCCUUUGAGACUGCAUCGCUAGAAUUGUGGAGAGGUAAGUGGAAUUCCGAGUGUAGAGGUGAAAUUCGUAGAUAUUCGGAAGAGCACCAGUGGCGAAGGCGACUUACUGGACACAUAUUGACGCUGAGGUGCGAAAGCGUGGGGAGCAAACAGG